rnacentral:tRNA from 1 species
GCGGGCCUGGGCCAGCAGGUCCAGGGCCUCCUGGCCCAGGCCCUGGAAGGCGUAGGGGCUGGUGCGGGGCUUGAAGGCUCCGGCCCGCA